GAAAUUGUUUCAAAACCUGGGCUACUCUUGGUACCUUUUCCUCCCUGCAAAGCUCUCCCUGAAGCCAAUGAGGAAGACUCAAAACAAGGUUAGGAUGGCGUGUUGCAAAUACAUGAAGAAGAUGCCCCUUGCCUUGCAAACAGUGUUACCUGCACCCUGACUCCAACAGAAGCUUCGCAGAAAAGCAGAGCCAUGUGCUGUAACUCCAGGAUGUGCCGCCAGGCCUACUAACAAGAGGCUUACUGAACUAAGCCUCUGAUGCCAUACUCCUAUUCUUGCCAGCCACAAAUGCAAGUGAGAAGUACAUUUCUCUGAAUUGAAAACUAGAAGCGAUUCCUGCGGCAUUUUUCAAAAGCACCAAUGGAAGCCAUUUCCACUGCUAGGGUUCAUCGUGUCUCAGAAAAACUGUACAUUUCUGUCCUAAGCACGAAGUUUAGAAUAAAAAUGGCCUAG